UUUCUUCCCACUGAACACCAAUACGAAUACUCGAAAUGUUUUCGAGUACGUAGACGCGACAAACCGACACGGAAACUUUUACGUACAAAUAUUUCCGCACGUACUUCCCGCAAGACCCACGUACAACGAGACAGACGGUGAGUUCUCAUGGCUGAGCCAACAAACAGACUAAGCCUGUCAAACGGUCAAAAGCGAGGUUAGGUACUUAAUCCGGACCCCUCCUGGAAUAGGAGGUAGUUUUGUCUAGUGACGCGACGUCGAAUAAAAACUGUAAUACUUGACUAUGUUUUGUACCUGCUUUUAUAUCAGCUCGAAAUGCUCGGUCGAUACCAGACCCGGGAAUUUUGAAUGUAACUAAAUAUGGUUUCUAUGGCAACCGUUAGGAAACGGUUAAUACAUGCGUUAAUACCCUUUCUAGGAAUUGUGGAAAAUAAAAACGUAACUCUGACUUUUCACUGUACAAAUAUGAACGCUAAGACUAGGCGAUAUAAAAAUGCCGUAGAUAAGCACGGAGUAUCAUUGAAGUGCUAAAUGAGGUAUAAGCAGAGGAGAAGAAAGAAAGAAAUCAGUUAUUAAAAUGAAGUUCCCUCGUCAUGCCACCGACAGAGAAGCCUUUUUGUUUCGCAAAUAAUAAUGAGCCGGCUUCCAAAAGCUUUAGCAUUGUUCUACCCGAUGUCUUUGUAAAUUUGUCAAAAAGUUAUUCGCGAGACAGGAUCGAUCCUCGCGCUGGUUUCAUCCUCGGCUUUUUACUGGACGACGACUUCCGCUGCGGCUAUACCUAUUUAUGUAGUAUGGAACCCGGAAAACUUUUCAAAUGCAAAUAUCGCGUCGGGUCGACGUUCACAAGGGACAGGGUGUCCGGAUAUUAAGCUCACCGUUCGCGACUUAUUGAUCCCCGCAAUUGUCAAGCCUGACUCCUUCGCGAGGCGGAAAAUAUUUGAAUUAGAAAUUUAUUUAAUAAUUUUACGCUCAAAAUAGAAGAUAUUUCGUACUAAUAAAAUAAAUCAGUGUAAAAGGAAAAAAAUUGUUAACGCAUGAAAAACAUUGAUCCACCGGAUUUCUAAAUGUCCACAAGGAACAGCUGUUAAUUCUAAAUGGUGUAUCUAAGUCUGAAUGACUGUAAAAAUCGAGAACGCGUAACAAUAAAUUAUUUAAUAUAAGAACCAGGUCGACCAUUUUUUUUUAUCGAUACGAACUCAUUUAACGCAUAAUAUGCGAACUACUUGACAACACGUACUGCUACGUAGCUGACAUACCCUGGUGAUAUCCCUUCGUCACGCAAAGUCUAUUUGCAAUGACGGUUAAACCUAUAACCAGGUUGAGUAACAAAAGAAAAGUAAAGAAGUACAGAAUUUUAUUAUCGAGAAUAAAAGCAUGAAAAAUUUUCAAGAUAACUUUUACACGUCUCCCUCUUGUUCGCAGCAACAACAAAAUCCACCCUCUGCACAAUGUAACGUUCGAAAGCGUGCUUUACCUCAAUUAGAAAACUUGCCGGAAGAAAAACAAAGUGAAAUCGUACAAAUUUGAAAUGCAAGGAAACAGAAAAAUAUUUCAAAAAAAAAAACAUUCUUAACGAGGAAAAUAGAAUAUAUGGACUGUGCGAGAUUUUCACGUCUUAAAAAAAAAAGAUGAAAGCAACUUGACCUUCGACCUUUCGCGUACAAAGGAAUCGCUCAAGUUUUCAAAGAUCAAAGGAAAUAAGGCUUAUAUAUACAUAUAUGCCAAUCCUUGAUUCAACAGUGAAAUCUAAUGGCACAGUGUCUGAAAGGGUUAAAGCCACCCUAACCCUACAUAUCUAAGAGACAGAAAUAGGGGAAGGGUGCUUCUUUUCUUUUAUGACAAUCAUGGGGUCGAGAUUACAAGGUGCGGUAGCAACCCCCAUGGAUAGAUGUAUUUCACGUAUAAUAUCAUGAAUGGAGGUACGGUCAAGAUAAUAGAAAGGGUGAAACUAACCGAGACAUGAGAUAGCUAUUAAAGGAGGCUGACAGGGUAGAUAGUCUCGCUAUGUCAUAUUAUCCCUGAAGAUUGCCUUGGAAAUGGGAUAAUCGCGUCAAGGGCGAAGAUUGCUGUAAAACAUUCAAGAGACCCAAUUCCGCGUAUAAUGAAUUUUGAUUGGUAAAAAUUCCACUUGUAGUAUCCCAUCUUCCAUUUUCCUUAUUCUUUUUUCAUCUGUGCUCCCAAUUUUUUUUUUGCAGGUCAAUCAAUAAAUACGGACUGCUAAGAUGGUUGAAGGUAACCAGAAACUCUAAGGUCGCGUCUGAGUCUCAAGAUCUAUAUAGAUACUGGAUGCUGGAGAGUGCCAAGGUGUGAAGAAGAUAAUUGGAGAACACAGCUGGUACAGGCAUAGCCAAUUCUCGUAUCCAGUUGGAGAAAUAGUGAAAGAAAGUGGGACCAGAUUGGUUCUCGAUUAUAACGACAGGUGGCGACAGUUGCGAGACACUGAUAGAAAAAUUCUUAUCCCUCUUAUCCCCAAGUGGGAUCCUGGAGAGUAAACGAGGAUCCUGAUAAAACUAAGAGAUGUCCUUCUCGUGGGAAAACGUUAUAUCGAUCCACUGAGGUCAGAGGAGGGAGACUGGUGAAAAUGACAUCUUGAGGAUGUAUCAUCCAGUAGGAGCAAGGCUGACACUGCGAAAACUUUAUUCCCUCUUCUCUCGUGUCUGCGAUAAAACUGGAUCAUCCCCAUUAUUUCGCACUCCCCCUUCACUUCUCAGUUGGUACCGCGUGCCAGGAAUUUUCUUUUGGGCUCCUUGGAGGAUCCCUUAGUCUCUGCACCUUUAACUUCGGACGGCAGGACGAAGUGUGGGUGGAUAAGUGGCAAGAGGCGCGAGGCAUUAAUUGGCAGGAAUAUAUUCAUAUGCGUCAGCCUUAAAGGUAUCUUCACGAUGAUUUAUCAGUAGAUUCGUUUUUUCUUUAUAAUUUAUACGUCUAUGGGCAUAACCUUUGAUUUAUCAUGCUAAUGCAACUACUUGGUUAUUCUAAAGCGAGAGAUACACGCGGAUUAGAAACUUAAGGCGAAAGCUAAAGAGAGCGACGGGUUCGAACCAGCGUUCAAUUUACAUUGGUGAACCUCAAGCUACUACUGACAAUACUUGUGGCGAUAGCGAAGACAUUACCUGAUUGCUGACCUGCACGUCCAUGUUAGACAUACGAAGAAAAGAAAUCUUCAAUUGGAUUCAUAUAUCAACCAAGAGAUGGCAGCACGUGUAGGAUAUAUAAUGGUGGAAGUUUCUCGAAUGGUGCAAUAAAUGUUCUGAAACGGACAAUAAAUAUGAAACAGGUCUGUGUGCUUGGGCGUUUAUAAACAUGCAGACAUUACGUGGGAGGUGAGUUCGGUGGAUGAGAGGUAAUGGGAACUUGAGUUCAGUGAGUCUUGGCACGAAGUUUCUUAUUGUUAGUAAAGUAAUAAAUACCUGCUCCAUGCAGAAACUCCUCGAGUUUCUUACGUACGACUACAAAUUCUCAUUACUGUUAUUUUUGCUUACAGAUUUUACACUCGGUAUAGCUCGAUGGACGUAACAACCUUUUAAUGUAACGUUUGCGUUCUGAUUGUUUGAUUGCUCAAACGAGAGACAAUAAAUGCCUUGUUCUGACUAUAAUUGAAUAAAUUAGUUAUAGUGUUGAAUAAUUUAAUUUACUAUAAUUGCCAGUGCAUUUUCCAUGGCAGAAAUAGUUAUUGAGUAAAUGAAGAUAUUGUAUAUAUGCCAUGAAUGGUAGCAUUAAAUAUUACAGAGCUGUCUGGUACAUAUGUUCUGUCAUGAUGAUAAAGAUAUAUUGAAAUUUUUGUUAAAAUCAAAUCCGUUCAAAAUUUGUUAUAUGGGAUUAGUACAAUUAAUCCUGAGAGACAAUAAAAAGUAAUAUCUGAAUUCAAUGACUAAGAACACGCAGUCUGUUCGCUAUGAGCAAAUCGAAGUUGGGAUAAAUUGAAAGCGUCCGCUAAUUAAAUUAUUAACUAACAAAUGUAUACUCAUUCAGAUUCCAUGAAUGACAGCUGCUAAUUUGGAUUGUCCAAAGUCUUCCAUUAUGCGAGGAAUAAAGAAGCGUUGUGAAUAAAGAGUAGACAAGACUAUACUCUAAAACGUCCCUGUAACACGAAUAGAGGAUGCUCCAUCGUUAUAAAUAAAAUGAAUAAAAUGAAUAUAAAGAAAGUCGCCCUAAUUCUCGACUAACAUUUAAAUUUAAUUUAACUCUCGGUCCAUUUUCUGCUAACACAGCUGGCCGUACGAAGUUCAAGAUUUCAUAUUGAUUCUUGCUAAAGUACCUAAAAACCUUGGAGUCAGCCUGAAGAAAGUUACUAAAGUAAAUUCGAGCACGUUAGGCCAAUGUCAACGUGGGAACAAAAAAAGAACAAGUCAGACACUCUAAAUGAUCAUAAAUAAAUUCCGUUCAAAGAAAUACCUAAUCAACGUUCAAAUGGUUUUUCAUUACCAAAGAAGAGUCAUCCUAACAAAGUU